rnacentral:lncRNA from 1 species
AUAGCUACGGUGCACACAGAAACUGGACCUCCCUAGCUGUCCCUGGCUGGCCCGAGGAAAGAGGCAGCACCAUGAGCCGCGUAGUGACCAUCGAGAAGUCCUCGACUGACCGUCAAUUAUCUCAGCAACUGUGUCGGGAGAAGUCGAGGGGCUACUUUUCCUCCAAUCGAACUUACGAUUUCCUUUAUGGUAAGGCUGCCCCAGAACCCGCUCCUGGGCUGUCGACUCUUGGGCCAGAUUGACCUUACAGUUGGUAGGACCUUGCCGGGGAAUGGUGAACGAAGGAUGAACCUCUGGAUAGACUCCCUGCCCAGAGUUGUCUAUUGUUAGGCUGGGGCAGCUAUGAAGCUCUUCAGAUGGCCGCGCGCUCAGGUGCGCCAUGCCAGGUGCACCGCGCGGGGACACCUUACUCUUUGUCUCUCUCCUGGGAUCAUUUGCUCAGAUCUGAGCUAUCUUUCUGAAACCUACUUCGGCGGAAAAGUAUGGAGAGAUUUGCAGAUUUGGGUAUUCAUGUACACAAUUUUCCCACAUUCAAACUGCAUACAAUGCCCAGCAAAAAUGAUCUUCCAGCUCUCAUUUGCUGGGCAGCUUCAAAUUCUGCAUUAUAGAUAAAGAGGCUGCAGUUUAUCUCACUUUUGAUUUUAGCGUUUUAUUUUUCAUUAAACGUUUUCUCUUCCAUUAAAAUACUGUUUAAAAACUAUGUUCCUCUAGCGCCAAUAAAGCUCCAGUUUAUUUUAAUUCUCCGACUUUCCACUUGUGUUCUAACUCUAUUGGACCUCAAAGUCCUGUUCUAUAUAUUCUCAAAAUCUAUUUCAACGCUGGUACAUAUGCUAGGUACUUCAAAAUGUUAAUUCAAUUACCAAAUUUACUGUUACAUUUGUUACAACAGUCAAACAUGAUUUUAUUUUUUUCCAGUUUUGUUCUCAGUAGCUCUAGGCUUUGGCCUGAAUCUAGCAUUGUUUCCAAACAUAUGGUGUUGCCUUUGGGAUGCCCAGAGUCUUCUUUGAAUGGGAUCCUAUAGGGUACCCAUUUCCUGGAUAGGAGCUAUGUAAUGAUUGCUUACAUAUUCUGGCCCGGGAUCUUUAUUCAUGCUUGGUUUCAUCUUUUAAAAUAAAUCUAGUAAAGUCCUGUAAACAUAUCUCUAUGUUGCUUUCAAAGGUAAUUUGGGAAGGAAGAUAAACAUCUUCAGUAAAGACAAGCAAAGAAUUUAUUAAGCUUGUUGGUUGUUUUACCUCUAAGUGUCUCUUUUGCAGAGAUUGCUAAAUGUUUCCAUAUCCCUUGGAAAGAUCAGAAAUCCAUUCAUAAUAGGUCAAUUGAAAGUCUGCAUUGUUACAAUAAAACUGGCAAGCUCAUGCAGCUAGUCAUGGACAGGAAGCAAGGUAUAACCAGGACAGACUAGAACCUGGACAGGAAAAUUAAACACUAAUGUGACAUGCUUUCCUGCUUUCUUUCUUUGACCUUACAGUCUUUUACCCUGUUAGUGUUGACAGAUUUAGCAAAUAAAAAUAGAGGAUGUACAGUUAAAUUUGAAUUCCAGAUAAAAAAACAUAAUAUUUUAGUAUAAAUUUUUCAUCCCAUGCAAUAUUUGGGACAUUUAUAUUAAAGAAUUAUUAAUGGCUUAUUUGAAAUUCAGAUUUAACUGGCAACUCUAGCUAUCUGUAUUUUAUCUGGCAUGUUAUUGUUUUCUAUGUGUGUGCUUCCUUUUUCCAUUUGACAACCACUUGUGUAUGGAUUUAUCUUACUAGAACAGGGGCUGGGGUGGCACUCUACAUAACCUCUUAAUCCUAAAGCUUACCACCAAUUGUAUAGAAUAGAGUUUCAUGUAUCUUAGUUGAAGAUUUAAAAUAAAUAACAUUGAUGCUGACCAGCUGGUAAGUUUGUUGACCUUGGGUCUGGUUUCCAUCUGUAGGGAAAAAAAAAAAAAAGAAGUGACGGAUUAGGUAUGGGGUCAAAGGUACAAAUAUGAACACCUCUAAGCUCCUUAACUGUUAUCUAAGAAGCCCUUGGUUAUUUCCUUCACUUUUAAUGUAUUAUUCUUUGCAUCAUUCUAUUUCAUUCACCCUGGUCUCUGCUGUUCUCCAACAUAUCAGUCAUGUUUUCAUCUUAGGGCCUUUCAUCUAGUGAUUUGCUCUCCUAAAAUGUUCUUCCUCCAGAUAUUCAUAUAGCAAAUCCCUCACCUUCAAGUUUCCUUACAUGUUAUGUUGUCAUGAAUUUAAAAUUUGAUCCCAGUCUCCCUUACCCUGAUAUCUUUUUUUAAUAGCACUUAUUAUUCUCUAACAUAUUAUAUAAUUUCUUGUUUAUUAUUUUUGUUGUUUAAUGUGCUUACCAUGAAGUCAGUUUUUAAAAAUCUUUUUGUUGAUGUAUGUAGUCCAAGCAUAUAGGACAUAAUAGCCAGUCAAAAACACCUUGUUGUGUGAAGGAAAAAGGGAGCCUGAGCCCCUUGCAGCUUUUCAAAUGUUGGUGGAAAUAUCAGAUAACUACAUCCAGCAGGUUGUUUUUUGGGGGCAACUACAGAGUCGUUAGGUUUUAAGAAUUGACUCAUUCAAGUUCGAAUGAAACUUAUUUCUAACAUUACAAUACCAGUUUACUAAUAUCUAUGAAGAAAUAUAUGUCACUCAGUUGCCUAGACUAGCUGGUCAGGGUAUUUGUUUCCCCAGAGAUAAGUCUACUUGGGAAAUCAAGUGUCUCUCUGAAGACUGUUUAUGAGUUCAGUGUCAAAUCAGUUCAUUUUAAUGGGUGAUGUAAUCAAUCACUAAUAUUCUUCAUCAUUAAAGAUAUACCUAAUAAAUAAGUUCUUAUAACAGCAGGUUAAUCUUCUAUGGAACUUCAGAGAGAUAACUUAGGCCCAUCAUCAAUGUACAGUACUUAUAAACGUAAGGAGUACAUUCUGAAGAUAGCUGACCUUAUUUAUUUCUUAUUAGAAAUUGAGAGUUCCUUACCAUGUCUACCAAUUCUGAGGAACUUUGCUAUUUGCCUCUUCUUAGUACACUGAAUAUAGAACUAGUACCUAAAUUUAUUGUUUCUUUCUCUUGUAACUGGGCAUAGUACAUAUGUAUAUAUAAUAUCUUUUCUCUUAAAGUAUUUUCUGGACUAUGAAGGACUUCAUAGGAAAGAAGAGAGCUAUUUAGGGUAUUGUGCUUGUAAAGAUGCUGGUCUUUCUUUUUGCAUUCCAUUUUCAUAAACUGACUUGGAAUAUACAGGAAAGAAAUGUAUCUAACAAAUUCUCACUGGUAGAUAGAAUCGAAUAAUAGGGCCAUCAGUUGCUGCAGAGUUAGGCAAUAAUUAAACUUUCUAAUUUGUUUUCAAAUUGAGAAAUUACAAGGCAGACAUGGUGUUACAUACCUAUAGUUCCAGAUACUUAGUAGGCUAAGACAGGAGGAUGGUUUGAGCCCAGGAGUUUAAGGCUAGUCUGGGUAACAUAAUGAGACCUCCAUUUCAAAAAAAAAAAAAAAAAAAAGAAAAGAAAAAGAAGAAGAAAGAAGAAAGAAAAUUAUAUUGCUUUGCUAGUGUUCUCACCCUAGGAGAAUAUUCUUUCUACUCCUUAUACUACUUUAUUAUGUUUUUUCUCAGAUCCAUUGUUUAUUGUGUCAAGUGCAAAAGACCACACACAGGCAUAUAUUCAAGCCACCCUGAUUCGAAGCCGACUGGUAUGUCUGAUUCAUCUACUAAGGCAACCUAAUGAAUCUGAACUGUCUAGCAUGGCUAACUGCUUUAAUCAGAUUGACAAUCAUCAGAUCUCUACUGGAUUUUAGGGUCUGCAGAAAUUACUUUGCUAUGAUUACUAGGGGGCAAGGCAUCUCAAUACUUGUGAUACAAGAGCCAUUUGUUAAUUUACUUUGAUGGAAAAGAUACUCAUGCCUGGGUUGGAAGAAUGCAAGCAGUAUGAAAGCAUAUACAAUAUAAACUAAUUCUAGCCCUGCCAUGUAAAUAGUCACUGUCAUCAAUUUCCUGAGUGUCCUUUUAGAGAUUGUCUAUGCAUACAACAAUUGUUUUCCCAAUAUUCGUUGUCUUGUUCUAUUUUUUUAAAGUUUAUAAUAUAAAGUGCUUUAGAAAAUCUGAUAUUUUAUAUAUGUAUAUAAUUAUGUUCUUUUUCUCCAUUCAUCCCUUUCCUAACAUUAGAGAAAAGUUCCCAGAUUUAGAAGCAUGUUCAGUAACCUGAUUCAUUAUCCAAGAUAUUCUCAGUAUUGGAGCAAGUCCGAUCCUCUCCCACCAUUUAUCAGUCGAGAAUGGAGGGGACUUGAGAAGCAUAAAGAAGUCCUCUGGCAGCUUUCCACGUAAGUGUCAGAUGGCUCCUGACACUAAAUAUACUUGUGUAUUUUUAUUUUAAAAAAUUUUAAUGUAUUUACUCUGCAUUAUUUAAAAAUGUAUGGUUAUAAUGUUUACCUGGACCAAGUUCUCUUGUUAAACCCCUUCUUCCAAAACAAGCUUGAUUAAGGAGCAAAGGUUAUACAUUUAUUGGUUAGUAGUUUUCAGAAGGUUGGCAUGAAAAAAAUAUGUAAAUUACUAAUCCACAAAUUAUUAUUUGUGAGAAACUUCCUUAUGGAAAUAUUUUUAUGCUGAUUUUUUUUCAGAGAAAUGUUAAAAUUCUUUGUGUGUGUAUGUGUGUAUGUGUGUGUGUGUGUGUGUGUGUGUUUUACGUGGUGAUAGAACUUAGGGCCUCACAUAUGCUAGGCAAGCAUUCUACCACUGAGCUCAGUGUCUAAGCUUAGUGUCAUAUCUAAGAAAUGUUAAAUUCUUAACUAAAGCAUACUCAAUUUCUAGAUUUUGGGGAAGGAUUCUUUAAAUUAAAUUACUGGGAAUUUCAGAAUGUCUUAGGAACUGGAGAACUUGCUGGGGCUAAUGACCCCUGAAGCCCAAGUAGUUUUUGAAAUCAUAGCUUGUUUGUCAUCUGCAGGGAAGAGACUGGUAUGCCUGCUAAUAAUGACCUGAAGGUUGCAGAAUGUGUAUACAUUUAUUGAAAACUUGCCACCAAAGAUAGGAAUGACUGCGUUUUUGUUACUUUGAUCCAUCUUUAGAAAUUGUAAGUGCUCUUUUCUGCUAGUGUCCAAAAUAUUUUUUGGAGACUUACAGCCAAAUCACCUUACUCUUGAAAUCAUUUUUUAAACUACAAGUUAAUAUUUAGUAAAUUAACAAAUGAUAAUGCUUUUGGAACUUUGUUAUUCUCAUGUGCUUUUAAUUAAAAGUGGGCAUUUUUAUAUACAGGAUUUCACAAAUAUAUUCAUUUCUGAACUCUCACUCCCUAUUACUAAGUUCUUGUUUCCUGGCUUACAGGAAGUAAUCAUGCCUAGUUUAAGAUGUAGGACAGCUAAAUGCAUGAUAACGAAGACUUCCCUGUUACUAUGAGAUAUUCAGGCUCUAUAGAUGUAGAAAUGUUAAGUAGAAAUUAGAGGUGGAAAUGAUACACUUGAAUAAUGUUUUCCUGCUUCAUUUUAGAAUGGGCACUUGUUUUCAGAUGCCUAAAGAAGUUUAUGAAAAUCCCGACGUUACUGGAAAGAAUCGCUAUAAAUACUUUGACAGGUACAAAAUGACUAAUGAACAUUUCAGUCUUGACAUUGUUAAAAAAUCUCUUUACAUCAAUGAUAACAGCUAUCAUUUUAAGUGCAUGCAAUAUACCAGGCACCACUUUAAAGUGCUUUGCAUACAUGCUGUCUAAUCUUCACAACAGAAAUGUAGCAUAAGAUACAUAUUAGCCACAUUUUUCCAAUAAUGAAGCUGAAACUGAGAGGAAAAGUAGAUUACUCAAAAUCGAUAAGCAAGCUAGCUUGUGACAGAGCUGGAAUUCCAACUAAGUCUGCCUAACUUUAGAGGUACUAAUUGCAACUAAGAAUGUAUAUUUGCAGAGAUAUCAUGAAAUUGUAGAGCAGGGAAAAUUGUUAAAAAAGUGUUCAAAUGGUCAUUUGCUCUCUGUAUGAACAUUGUCCAAACCAACACAUUAAAAAAUUUACUUUAUUUCAUUUGAGACUAAUUUCAUGUGAUAAUUAUAUACCUUAUUAAAAUGAGAUGAGAAUUUUCCUGUAGGUGUUAUGUAGGUUAGAAAAAUAGUCUUGAUAUCACAUCUGCAUAAGCUUCCUCGAGAAAGUAAACUUCUAAUCCAUGUUAUUAUUUAUGAGUAACUGCCUUAUGGAGCUUUUCUGAUAUUAACUCAGGCAUAUUCAAUUCCUAGACUUUUCUGGGGGGAAAAGGGGAUGCUUUAAACUUUAAGUCAUUGGGAUUUUCAAAAUGUCUCAGGGAGCUUGAGAACUUACUUUACUUUCAUAAACUAAAGAAGUUUAUGAAAAUCCUGACGUUACUAGAAAGAAUCGCUAUAAAUACUUUGACAGGUACAAAAUGACUAAUGAACAUUUCAGUCUUGACAUUGUUAGAAAAUCUCUUCACAUCAAUGAUAACAGCUAUCAUUUUAAGUGCAUGCAAUACACUUCACAGCUAAUGGCUGGUGAAGCCCAAGUGGAGAACAGUUUCUGAAAUCAUGGCUUGUUUGCCAUCACAAAGAAGAUACUGGUAUGCCUUCUGAAAACGCACAUUCAUUAGCUGUGUUCUACAGCUAUUAAGUCUUCUGGGCCAGACUUGGGAAUGUGCAUUUUAAACAAGACCUUCCUCCCUCCCCUCAGUGAUUUUAUAUAUGCCAAAAUUUUAGUAUUUUUGUUACAUGAGAUAUUUGUUGUGUGGCAGAUCCCUCAGAAAACACACUAAGUCCUAGUUUUGCCCAAAUUGAAGAGUAUUUAGCCAGCUAUACUGCUCCCCACAGGACCCAUAACUGUCUGCAAGGAAUAGCCCCAUGCCUGAGCAUUUUAGGAUAUUUAAAAGCAAAAACCACAUCCGGGUUGAUGUAGCUGCAGGCAAGCAGGUACAGAAGCUGGAUUGGGCAAUUAGCGAGACAAUGCAAUGGGUACAUUGGUGUUUCCCACAGGAUUUUCCAGGUUGGCAUAGCAGCAAGGAAGCAGAAGGGAAAUUGGUCAAAAUGACCCUAGUUCAGUACAAAUUAAGAGAAUGGUUACUAAUGUCUAGACAAUCAAUCUCUGACAAGGUACAUUGCCAAAGUAAAAUGGAAACAAAGGAGAACAAUUUUACAUUGUAUAAGAAUUGGCUAUUUUGUGUUGCCAAGUCUAGGUAACUAUUAAUGGGUACAGAAGAGGGGCUUUCCCAUGGGAGAAGCUUUUCUUACAUGAUAAGGAGUCUCAGGGAAAAUAGAGUCUGUUUGGUCAUUGCCCAGAUAGCCUGGUCCAUAAUAUAUUCAAAGAUUUUAAGAAACACAUACUAAAAUUAGAAGAAAUGCAAAAUGCAAAAGUCCCACACAUCUGUGUUUUUCUUUUUCAUCCCAGGCCCUUCCUUCCGUUUUAUCAACAGAUGCC